UUGUGAGUCUGUGUUGAAAGGGCCUCAAAUCGAAACCCUAACCCUUAUCGCUCAAACAUCGUCUGUUCAGUCGCAGGAAUGUCUCAUUUCGGGAGAUCUGGUCCUCCGGAUAUCAAAGAUACAUACUCUCUUCUCGUUCUCAACAUCACUUUCAGAACCUCUGCAGAUGAUCUCUUCCCGCUGUUCGAUAAGUAUGGGAAGGUGGUUGAUAUCUUUAUACCGAGAGAUAGAAGAACUGGGGAUUCACGUGGGUUCGCUUUUGUUCGAUAUAAGUAUGCCGAGGAGGCACAGAAGGCGGUGGAAAAGCUCGACGGAAGGAAUGUUGAUGGCAGAGAGAUUAUGGUUCAGUUCGCUAAGUAUGGGCCAAAUGCUGAGCCAAUUCGCAAAGGAAGGAUAGUGGAAGUAUUUCCAAAGACGAGAGGCAGGUCUAGAAGCCGAAGCCCCCGCCCAAGGUACCGGGAUGAUUACAGGGAUAGGGAUGUCAAGAGGAGAAGUCGUAGUAGAAGUAAAGGUAGAAAUGAUCGUGACAGGUACCGUCACAAGGAGAGGGAUUAUCGCCAUCGAAGCAGGAGUCGCAGUUUAAGUCCUGAUUACAACCGAGGUCGUGGCAAAGGCAGAAAUGAUGAUGAGGGACGAAGAAGCCGCAGCCGGUCUUAUGAAAGUGCUUCCCCUGCUCGACGUAGUCCUAGUCCUAAACGUAGUCCAUCUCCGAGGAAGACACCUCCAUCUAGGGAUGGAAGUCCUGAUCGACGCAGCCAAGAUGAACGUUCUCCAUCUCCUAGAAGUGUUUCUCCGCGAGGUCGUCCUGCUGCUUCUUUGAGUCCAUCUCCUCGUAAUUCAGAUGCAGAUGAAUAAUGGAGUAGUAUGGCUUGCUAUGGUUCUGAAUGUUGGUGAGUGUACCAUCUGUAGCUGUAUUGCUACUAGAAAAGAGCAUUGUGGGCGUGCUUGUCCUGGUCAAAGUACUAGAUGCUAGUUAUGGUAGUCCUGGACUUCAUUUGAAGUACAGUCAUGGGAGUUGAGACUCGGAUGAAUCAAAUACCUGGGGUUUUAUAAUUAUGAUCGUGAAAAGAAUUAAUGUGGCUGAUUGGCGAGAUCGUGAUUUUGUAGCUGUUGAUGCUGUUUUGUACUUGAUGGAUGAUGUUCGUUUUGAUGAUCGUUGCAAACAACAGUAAUCUGGUGGUUUUCACCUCCUAAAAUGUUAAAAUAAUUUGCUAUGAUGAUCUCAUGAUUGGUAAGAUCCAUGAUUAUAUUUUCUUCUGAAUAGUCUUUAUCCAUCCGGAUUCUGGCAUUUUACCUGACCACAAUCCAUGGUCUUCAAUGGUUGUAAAGUUUUGGGCCCUGAAAGGACUAGUCGUAGCUGUGACGGCCUGAAAGAUGGUCGGAAGGGGAACAUAAUUUACCUGUAGCUGAUGCAGCAAGUGGCUGAACCUCAUAUUCAAACGUUGAUGCUGAGUUAAGAUGAGGCCUAUUUGCUGAGCUGUCCCUUCUAUUAUAACCUAGUCAAGACAGGGUAACAGAUCCAUAGUUGCUUAUUUUGUUUAGGGUCUUGGUUAGACCUCAAGUCAUUUAAUGUCUAGCUUUUAGGGUAUUGACUUCUGUUGCAUCCUGUACUGAGAUGUGAUAGAAUAUGGAGAUGUGGCUGUAGCUGUGAAGCUGUAGCGGAUAUUGGCAUCAUGUACUGCAAUGUUAUAGCACAUGAAGUUGUGGCUGUACCUGUGAAGUGGUAGCCGAUAUCCACAUAAUGCUGCUGUUGAUUGCCUUCCUAGUUGCUGGGGUCGGGUUGAAUCUGGUACUACUGAUUUUGGUGCUGAUCGGCGAUGACUAUUUGGUAUGUCUGGUUGCAAUCUGCUCUAGUAGAUGUGCUGGUAUGCCUGCAUUUAUCUUAUGCAGAUUGGUGUUGGAGCUUUUGUUACUCUGACCGCACUUUAUAUGUAUGGCAACCUUAGAAGCGAAAUUGAAAAUUAUGCUGCUGUUUUCAUUUGAACUGAUGUACAAUCCUUGAUUAGAUGUUUAUACUGCUUGUGUCAAAACAAUUACAUAACCUAUCGUAUUGGAUGUGACACAAAUUAAAAUUAUUUAGUCACACACUUCCUGAUGGUCCAAUGUAGUUGUGUUGCCAUAAUAAAUUGAAUUAAUGAAAAAUGAUUAUUCCAUAUGC